rnacentral:rRNA from 1 species
AGCCCAGAAAGACCCGGCGUAAGUUACGAUGCCAGCAAGACGCCGGUAUUAGUAGGGAGGGCAAGCGUUGUCCCAGAUUUAUUGAGGCGUAAAAGCGAGCGCAGGGCGGUUUCUUAAGUCUGAUGUGAAAGCCCCCCGGCUCAACCGGGAAGGGUCAUUGGAAACUGGGAGACUUGAGUGCAGAAGAGGAGAGGGAAAUUCCAUGUGUAGCGGUAAAAUGCGUAGAUAUAUGGGAGGAACACCAGUGGCGAAAGGCGGCUCUCUGGUCUGUAACUGACGAUGAGGCUCGAAAGCGUGGGGAGCAAACAGGAUUAGAUACCCUUGUAGUCCACGCCGUAAAAAAUAAAUCCUAAGAGUUGGAGGAAUUCCGCCCUUCACCCCUGCAGCAAUCGCAAUAAGCGCUCCUCAUGGGGAGUUCGUCCGCAAGGUUGAAACUCAAAGGAAUUGAAGGGGGCCCGCACAAGCGGUGGAACAUGUGGUUUAAUUAGAAGCAACGCGAAGAACCUUAGCAGGUCUUGACAUCCUUUGUCCACUCUAGAGAUAGAGCUUUCCCUUCGGGGACAAAGUGACAGGUGGUGCAUGGUUGUCGUCAGCUCGUGUCGUGAGAUGUUGGGUUAAGUCCCGCUACGAGCGCAACCCUUAUUGUUAGUUGCCAUCAUUUAGUUGGGCACUCUAGCGAGACUGCCGGUGACAAACCGGAGGAAGGUGGGGAUGACGUCAAAUCAUCAUGCCCCUUAUGACCUGGGCUACACACGUGCUACAAUGGGAAGUACAACGAGUCGUUAGACCGCGAGGUCAUGCAAAUUUGUUAAAGCUUCUUUCAGUUCGGAUUGCAGGCUGCAACUCGCCUGCAUGAAACCGGAAUCGCUAGUAACAGCGGAUCAGCACGCUGCGGUGAAUACGUUCCCUGUCCUAAUACACAACGCCCGUCACACCACGAGAUUCCGUAACGCCCGAAGUCGGAGGGGUAACCUCUUGGAGCCAGCGGCCUACCUCUAAUUUAAAAAGGAAUUU